rnacentral:rRNA from 1 species
UACGUAGGGUGCAGGCGUUAUUCGGAAUUACUGGGCGUAAAGCGUGCGCAGGCGGUUUGCUAAGACAGGUGUGAAAUCCCCGGGCUUAACCUGGGAACUGCGCUUGUUACUGGCAGGCUUGAGUGUGGCAGAGGGGGGUGGAAUUCCACGUGUAGCAGUGAAAUGCGUAGAGAUGUGGAGGAACACCGAUGGCGAAGGCAGCCCCCUGGGCUAACACUGACGCUCAUGCACGAAAGCGUGGGGAGCAAACAGG